CCUAUCAGAGGGGGAUAACCCGGCGAAAGUCGGACUAAUACCGCAUGAAGCAGGGGCCCCGCAUGGGGAUAUUUGCUAAAGAUUCAUCGCUGAUAGAUAGGCAUGCGUUCCAUUAGGCAGUUGGCGGGGUAACGGCCCACCAAGCCGACGAUGGAUAGGGGUUCUGAGAGGAAGGUCCCCCACAUUGGUACUGAGACACGGACCAAACUCCUACGGGAGGCAGCAGUGAGGAAUAUUGGUCAAUGGCCGAGAGGCUGAACCAGCCAAGUCGCGUGAGGGAUGAAGGUUCUAUGGAUCGUAAACCUCUUUUAUAAGGGAAUAAAGUGCGGGACGUGUCCCGUUUUGUAUGUACCUUAUGAAUAAGGAUCGGCUAACUCCGUGCCAGCAGCCGCGGUAAUACGGAGGAUCCGAGCGUUAUCCGGAUUUAUUGGGUUUAAAGGGUGCGUAGGCGGCCUUUUAAGUCAGCGGUGAAAGUCUGUGGCUCAACCAUAGAAUUGCCGUUGAAACUGGGGGGCUUGAGUAUGUUUGAGGCAGGCGGAAUGCGUGGUGUAGCGGUGAAAUGCAUAGAUAUCACGCAGAACCCCGAUUGCGAAGGCAGCCUGCCAAGCCAUGACUGACGCUGAUGCACGAAAGCGUGGGGAUCAAACAGGAUUAGAUACCCUGGUAGUCCACGCAGUAAACGAAGAUCACUAGCUGUUUGCGAUACACUGUAAGCGGCA
rnacentral:rRNA from 1 species